rnacentral:rRNA from 1 species
GAUGAACGCUGGCGGCGUGCCUAAUACAUGCAAGUCGAGCGAACAGACGAGGAGCUUGCUCCUCUGACGUUAGCGGCGGACGGGUGAGUAACACGUGGAUAACCUACCUAUAAGACUGGGAUAACUUCGGGAAACCGGAGCUAAUACCGUAUAAUAUAUUGAACCGCAUGGUUCAAUAGUGAAAGACGGUUUUGCUGUCACUUAUAGAUGGAUCCGCGCCGCAUUAGCUAGUUGGUAAGGUAACGGCUUACCAAGGCAACGAUGCGUAGCCGACCUGAGAGGGGGAUCGGCCACACGGGAACUGAGACACGGUCCAGACUACUACGGGAGGCAGCAGUAGGGAACCUUCCGCAAUGGGCGAAAGCUUGACGGAGCAACGGCGCGUGAGUGAUGAAGGUCUUCGGAGCGUAAAACUCUGUUAUGAGGGAAGAACAAAUGUGUAAGUAACUAUGCACGGCGUGACGGUACCUAAUCAGAAAGCAACGGCUAACUACGUG